AUUGAACGCUGGCGGCAUGCCUAACACAUGCAAGUCGAACGGGGGCGAGCAAUGCCCUAGUGGCGGACGGGUGAGGAAUACGUAGGAACCGGCCCACGAGUGGGGGACGAACCUGGGGAAACCCAGGCUAAUACCGCAUACGCUCGCGAGAGGAAAGCGGGGGACCUUCGGGCCUCGCGCUGGUGGACGGGCCUACGUCCGAUUAGCUUGUUGGUGGGGUAAAAGCCUACCAAGGCGACGAUCGGUAGCUGGUCUGAGAGGAUGAUCAGCCACACUGGGACUGAGACACGGCCCAGACUCCUACGGGAGGCAGCAGUGGGGAAUAUUGGACAAUGGGCGCAAGCCUGAUCCAGCAAUGCCGCGUGGGUGAAGAAGGCCUGCGGGUUGUAAAGCCCUUUAAGCGGGGAGGAAAGCCGGGGGGUGGAAUAGCGCCUCGGGGUGACGUUACCGCAGAAUAAGCACCGGCUAACUCCGUGCCAGCAGCCGC
rnacentral:rRNA from 1 species